GUCCCAGUUAGCGUGAUGGCUAGCACGUUGGACUUCUCAUCCAAAGGUCGUGGGUUCGAAUCCCACCUGGGAUG